GGCAUUAGGGCUUCCAGUGGCAGCUUUGUUCGGUUUUUGGUCAUUUCAGGCAGUAAAGGAAGAGUGAAGAAUUCCAGCAGCCAACAACCCUUAACGGCAGCCCUCAUUCCAGCAUUCCUUUGUUCCAGCAGCAAUCAACCUAAAUGGGGCAGUAACUCUUCAAUUCCAGCAUCUUCUUGUUCUUGAAUAAAGCUGUGGAACUUGAGGACUUUGACGCGAAACGAGUAUCUCGGAGUCGGUAUUGGACCUUUCUUUUAUCGGAGG